AUUGACCUCGGAUCAGG
rnacentral:rRNA from 1 species